ACAGGGAAUUGCACCACGCCGUGGCAGUGGAAUGAGGAUGCUGUUGUCACUUCAGAUGAACUAUGGCAUGCAAACACCAUGGAGAGUCUCCCUCAUGACAUUGUGAUGCUCCCAUUGCUGAGUAUGGAUAAGGCCAAUGUUGCGCACCUUUCAUUGAUUGACUGGGAUGGUGGAUUCUCAUUAGUUUCCAUCGACUUGAGUAACAUGCAAGUCAUGGGCCCAGUCAUUACAUACCUCAAAGGGAAGGAUGAUACUGCUGAUGCUGACAUCGUCGAGGAAAAGAAAGGAUUAGGUGCACACUUUAUUCCAUCCGAAUUCCCCAAGUUCCUGGAUCUCAGGUAACUUCAGCGUUGCCUCCCACUUUUACUUGAGCACAAUUUUUUUUCAUGCAGCCUUUUGCUCUCUUUUUUUCAGCAGUUAAGGUUUCUGCCAUGUUAUUCUUGAAACCUUUGAGGAAUCAACAGAAUGUGCUGGUUGCUGGGAGUAAUAUGGAUCAAUGUUUUCAAGUCUUUAUGUUGAGUCUAGUCGCUGGGGUACCAACUAGAUGGCUAAUCGUGACUAGGCAACGAUUAAAUGGCGAUUAGCUAUGAGACCAGUCGAUCCACCCUUGCCUAUAGUAGAGAAUGAUAGAGUAUAACACAAAGGUGACGAACUGAUCUCUUGGUUUGAGCCCAACACAUAAUUGUUCUUUGUGGGUUCUUCAAUCUGAAAGUGCAUAAUAGCGUGCCAGCGUUGUGCUUUGUUUCCUUCACUAUUUUGAUUCUACAUGUCAAAUUAUUGAAAGGUUUUGUUCAGUUACCAACAACAUGGAUCCUUAGAAGUAGGUGGCACCUAGCGAAUCAGCAUCAUAUCGAAGAACCCCUAGAUCUUCUAAACAAACCGGCUGGAAUUGUGGAAAUCAAUUAAACUUAAUUAUAUCCAUAGUGCCUUCCUUGUAUAUCAUGUUUCAUUCUGCCAGUAGUAACCUCAGCAACUUGACGGUCUUGGGAAAUUAGGCAAUGGUAGUCUGCCUGAGGUUAAUAUAGGCCCUUUUUGUAUCCGCUUAUUUCCUGCUUAUCAAUGGAAAUAAGCGAUAAGCCCACCCAAACGCCUAGCUUAUUUCCCACUUACCUCCCAAGCCGCUUAGCCCACAAUCUGGAAAACAACUAGCGCCCCGCUUAUUCUCUAUGCGGUCUUGGGGCCGCUUCUUGGGCAAGCGAAGCGCUUUUUCCUGAUACCCUCACCCGUCCGCUGCCUGCCGCCCUCCGACCGUCGCCGGCUCCGUCCGCCGCCCGCCUGCCUCCACCGCUUCCCUGCACAAAUCCCAUGCAGAUCCCGUUGCCAUCAGUCACCAGCACUCCUGCCCAGAUCCCGUCGCCGCCGGUUCCGUUCGCUGCCCGCCGCCGGCCGACCCUACGCUUGGCCCCCUGUGCUUGGCCUCCGGCCGGCCCUGCUGUUCUUUUUUGUGAAGGAGGUGGCGGAGUGCUGGCCGUCUACUGCUGAGUGUUGGUCGUGAGCAGCAUUUGAGCUCGCCGUGCGUGCUGCCGUUGUUGUUGAGAAGGAGCUAGAUAUGGGUGCAUUGCGUCAUGUUAUUGCUGUCGCUAUGGUUCGUGAUUCGUUGUUGUACUCAUGAUGGAUGUUUCCAUACUAGACCGUUCUAUCAUAUGAAUUUCAUAUUAUUGUAAUGAAAUUUCUAUUUAACAAACUCCAAAAAUAUUGGAAUUAUUAUCUUCUCCUCAGAUUCACAAUAAAAAUGAGCUAUUAUCAGCCUCAGGGGCAUUCAGGUCAAUUUACCAGCCAGGACAGACAAUCGACACAAAAUAAUCAGGAUUGCCAAACACCCAGCUUAUACAGACAGCGGAUUCUCCAGACAGCAGGCAGGCUUUUAAGAUAAGCCUGCUUGCCAGAUAAGCGAGUUCAGAAAAGCGUAUACAAACAGGACCAUAAAUGUUGCACAGCUUAUUCUGUUGCCUAACUGUUGCUUGUCACGUUGAUCCCAAAAUCGACCAUAAGCUAAGUUAUUUUUUCUUAAUGACGUCCGAGGCACCUGAGAAUCUUUUAUAAUUCUUGGUAACCAUGGAUACUAUCAAAAUAACUUCAGCAAUGGGUGAAUCUAAGACUAUGGGAAGCCUAAAUUUCGAUUUGUACAGAUUAUCUCUGCUGAAAAAAAUUAUUGAAAUCAUCAGCAUGUGUUGUAGCUGACAAUUAUUGUUUCCUAUUUGUAUUGAUGAAGUUCUUGCUACUGUAUUGCAGGAAGAGAGAGAAUCAUCCAUAAGUCCUGUCACCAUAUCGGCUGGCCACCGUCGUCAUGUGUGUUGCUUCUUCAUUUUCCAGUUCUGUUGUGCUGGAUUCUACUGCCGACUUUGUUGAUUGGCUACUACAAUUCUGAGUUUAGUCCUCAGCUUUUGUGUGUUCCCUGCACUUGUGUACUAUAAAUAGCCAGGAAAAACACCUUUACCCGGCUCAUCCGUUGAACUAUAUGAUAAUGCUAGAUGAUGUGUCCAUGCCUUACUAACGUCUUCUACAUGCCAUGCGAGUUAAAAAUCCUGCAAUCAUGUUUCGUGGUAGCAGUUUACCUUUGCACAAUGAAACUCCUCACUAAACCACAGUUCAAUUUGAGGGACUACUGCGUUGUUUUUACAGGGAUCUAAUGCCAUCAAUCAAAUUGUAAAAUACAGACAGGUACGCGUGGAAUGGACACUUGUGUUCAUUCAGAUUUUUGUGAUAUUUCAUACCUAAUGAUUACCAGGUUGUCACGCCCCUACAUGCAAAAUUGGUCUACGAGAUGGGAUAUAAGCUCAAAAGGACGUGAGAGCUGUAUUAUCAUGUAGCUCAUGACCUGGCAGAAGUGAAUAGUUGCACGAAAUACAACAUUGCAAACAAGGUUUUUAUUCAUUUUCUCUGCUGAUGGCACAUGGUAGCAGAAGCAGUGCCACCAAUUGGUGAAAGAUUUUCAGUAAACUGAGUGUUUGACAGAACAAUAUGAUGCCACCAAAGCAAUCUGCAUGAGUUCUCUACCUCCGGAAGUCCAGAUGGUUGCUCUGUUUCAUUCCUCACCAUGGUCAUGGCAGGGCAUGAUGGCACCCCCCCCCUCCCUAGGCGGGGCGCGGAGGCUGCAGGUUCAACUCAGAGUUUAGACCUUAACUUGUUUGUGAGCAAUGCAGAAUGCUACAAAUGUAAUACAGUGGGCAUGCAUGAUGCUGAAACAAACUAGUGCAACUUUUAGUGGAACAAUUGAUGAAUUAUGAUGUGUUGUCCAAGUAAAGGAUCGGUGGUGUUGUUUUGCUGAUCUUUUAGCGAAAAUCUAGUGAUAGUGUGUGGAUAUAUAUCCUAAGUUCCUAAUAACUCAUAGAUGAACAAUGAAUGCUAUAUUGAAUUGAAGCCAUGUUUGUUCUAUUCAAAAUGCAGGGAGCAUGCUCGAGCGGGCUUGGGGGGUCAUGGAGGGUCUGCUAAUGCUGGCACAAAGCCAGACUGGUUCCUUGAAGGGUGAGUAAUUAAUAUCUUUGAUUCAUCUAAGCAGUGCAAAAGUGAUGUGCUUAAUGCCUUGGACAAUGAAGCACCAGCUACUUCUAUGUUUUUUCCACCAAGAUUAGCUCAUGAUUUUGUCACUUUUUCCCACAACCUGCAAGUUUUGAAGCACUUUACUUUUGCCAUGUUAGCCAAAAUUUGGAGACAAGUACAAAGAGUAAGGAUAACCAACUCAUUUCUAGUAUUGGAGCAUCAAAAUCUAGUUCUGGAGCAUCAAAAAGGUAAUACACAGAUCUUAAAAAAUUGGUCAUACUGCUAUUGCUAUUUUGUUGCUACUGUUAUUUUGUUGUCUUUUGUUCAAAUCUAGUUCUAGCAUACACAUGUCAAUAUCAGAUUCAAAUGAACCUCCGCCUACUGCUGCUCCAGUCAAGGCAAAGAGCAAAAGGAAAAAGGAGCCUACUAAAAUGAAAACCACCAUUUCUAUACUGCCACUUGACAGCCCUACAAUGGGCCAAAAAACAAAAGGGUGGAUCCUGCUAGCCCUGCAAUGAGCACAAGGAGCAAAAGAAGGCUCAGCCUGUGAUCCUUAUGAAUCUAUAAAUUUGGACUCCGCCAUGAAUCUUUUUAUAUAUCAACCUUUGUGUGUGAACUUGCAUGUGAAUUUGAACUCCUAUGUGAACUUGCAUGUAUUUGUGGUGCCGUUCUGUGAGCUGUUGCGAUAAAAGGAGCUAAGCCUCAGAGCGUUUCCUAGGAUCUGAAUGAAUUUUUCCUUCUUUUUUCUGCUGUCCAGAUCUACUUCUGAGGGAGUUGGAUAUAUUCUAAGGUGCUUGCCAAGUGUUCAAGAGAGGAUUCUGCUUGUUUUUCGUGCGUGUAUAAUGGAGCAACAAGUGGAGGAGGCGAACGGAGCAGCCGUGGAGACCUGCCACAGGGUGCUUGCUUUGCAGAAAAAAAUCAGAAAAAAAAGGCAGGCAGUCGCGUGCAUGCUCCCAGCAAGGAAAAUGAGGCAGAAAAAAAACAAAAAAAUGGCAGCUGCAUGCGCUGCAUGCAAAAAAAUAGCAGCUGCAUGCGCCCGCGCGAUCUGCAUGCGCCGGCCAGUCUGCAUGCGUCAGGAGAAGAAGACCCACCUGCACACACCCUCCUUCCCACCCGGCCAGGCCCAGACGCAGGAGACAAGAGAUUAAAGAGGAUAGAUCGAAUCAAUAGCCAACUCCUCUCGUCGUCCUCCCCUCCAAAUCGAGGUAUACCCCAAACCCUAGCCAUCCCCAAUCCGGCCGCCGCGUCUACCGAUCCGUUAGAUUCAUGGCCGCCGCCGCUGCCGGCGACUCCGCUGUACCCAACUGGGUGAUGCUGGAGCGCUUGGCCUUCCGGAGGGACGACCCCGCCUCCUUCCGCGAGGACAGGAGGACCUUCGCUUCCGGCACCACCUCCACCGGCACUCAAUUCGACGUCUCCUUCAUCCUCGCCGAGCCUCCCACCCCCUCGCGCCUCUACCUCUCGUGGCCGGAAGGGCCCAAGCAGGGGAGCCGGUGCCUGGUCAUGGCGGCCAACCGCAACCUCGUCCUCCUCAGGCUCGUCUCCCUCGUCGACGAAUCCGAGCCUUUCGGGGAGGUAGUGCAUGAUUACUUCAUCUACAUAGCUGAUCCCUCCUCACAGCGGACACCCCUGCUCAGACGGCUGCCCCCCUGCACCAAGUACAACAAUUAUUUUGAGAGGCAAGUUACUCGCGUUUUGCCGGCGCUGGCUGUUGGUCUGUUGUGCCAUGGCGAAGACGAGUUUGCCGUGGCGCAUCUGGACAUCAGGUCUCGCAAAAAAAAAUCAGGGUCUCGCAAAAAAAAAUCAGGUAUCCAAGCUGAGCUAUGCGUGCUACGCUCGUCAUUGUCCUGCAUUGAUGAUGCCAAAUGGGAGACCAAGAUCCUUCCGAUACAGUACCAAUACGAUGAUUUAUCCUAUGAUUUUCUGUACUGGGCAGUGGAUGGUGUAGUUCCCUUCAAGAAUGCCUUGUGCUUUGUUAACUACUGUAGAGGCAUCCUUUUCUGCGACGGUGUCUUUGAAGACAGCCCUAAGGUCUCCUACAUCCGCUUGCCUCUGGAUACUUAUAUCCGAGGGGCUGAUGGCGAAGCACGCAAGGGGAUGUACCAUGGCUUGUGUGUCACUGAAGGUGGCCAUCGGUUGAUAUUUGUUGAUGUUGCCCGUCAUGAUGGAAAAUGGUAUGGCCGGAGCAUGCCCAACACUGGUUUCAGCCUCACCUACCGGACAUUGAAGAUGUCAGGGAAUUGCACCACGUCGUGGGAGUGGAAUGAGGAUGCUGUUGUCACUUCAGAUGAACUAUGGCAUGCAAACACCAUGGAGAGUCUCCCUCAUGACAUUGUGAUGCUCCCAUUGCUGAGUAUGGAUAAGGCCAAUGUUGCGCACCUUUCAUUGCUUGACUGGGAUGGUGGAUUCUCAUUAGUUUCCAUCGACUUGAGUAACAUGCAAGUGAUGGGCCCAGUCAUUACAUACCUCAAAGGGAAGGAUGAUACUGCUGAUGCUGACAUCGU
rnacentral:lncRNA from 1 species